rnacentral:rRNA from 1 species
GACGAACGCUGGCGGCGUGCCUAAUACAUGCAAGUCGAGCGGACGAUUCGAAAGCUUGCUUUUGAAUCGUUAGCGGCGGACGGGUGAGUAACACGUGGGCAACCUGCCCUGUAGACGGGGAUAACACCGAGAAAUCGGUGCUAAUACCGGAUAACACGAAAUGUCGCAUGACGUUUCGUUGAAAGGCGGCGCAAGCUGCCGCUACAGGAUGGGCCCGCGGCGCAUUAGCUAGUUGGUGAGGUAACGGCUCACCAAGGCGACGAUGCGUAGCCGACCUGAGAGGGUGAUCGGCCACACUGGGACUGAGACACGGCCCAGACUCCUACGGGAGGCAGCAGUAGGGAAUCUUCCGCAAUGGACGAAAGUCUGACGGAGCAACGCCGCGUGAGCGAAGAAGGCCUUCGGGUCGUAAAGCUCUGUUGUUAGGAAAGAACAAGUAACGUAGUAACUGACGUUACUAUGACGGUACCUAACGAGAAAGCCACGGCUAACUACGUG